CGCGGAGCCGCCGCGGGUCCGACCGGCUCGCGGGCGGGUCGCCCUAUCAGGUGCGGACCGCCCGACUCGUUUCCACCCACCGGAGCCUCGCGGGACCCACCUCCCGCCGCACGCUCACACUCCGCUCUGCGUCACCGGGACACGAGCUGCCGCCUCUGCUGCGCCUCCACGCGACCCGCGGCUCCCUGGAUACUGAGACCACGAGACCUUUCGUUCCCGCCACCACGUCCCGGACCCUUCCUCUGCUUUUGAACCCUUUGGUUGAGGCUUAUUGACGGCUGCAGGUUCUAAGUUCGUUCGGACCCUCCGUUCGCCGUUGCUGCCGGUUCAGAGUCUGCUCGGACCCUCCGGUCCCCGUUGCUGCCGGUUCAGAGUCUGCUCGGACCCUCCGGUACCCAGUGCAGCCGGUUCAGAGUCUCCUCUGACCCUCCUCCGGUCACUGCUGCUCUCCGGUGCCGCUCGUGCUCUGACAGAUCGCGCCGUCCGUCGCCAGGUGUCGUCAUGCGCCGCAGGCACGCGCGGCUCUGAGGAGAGGUCCGCGGUGGUCCCUCUCGCGGACAGGCGCGUGCAUCCACCUUUCCACGUGAUUGACGUGUCCAUUGUACUUGUUUUUAGGUUUUUUUGGGUGCAAAUUUAUAAUUUUUGCUGAGAAUCUUUGAGUUCUGACUGAUCGCCCCCGUCGGGCAGCCUCGUCCCGGGACAUCGGGCUCCAGCCCCCCCCCCCGCCCCCGGGGUGUUUGGGAUAAUUUCUGAUGUUGCGCCCCGUACCGCCGCCGCCCCGCGCUGAUCUGUCAUUACACUGGAAUUCAACCGUGUGUGUGAGCCCGCCCUGGAGGAGCGGGUCUGUCCGCGUCCCGGGCUGUGAUCUGUGAGACAGGUGUCUCUCAGGUGUCUCUCUCACCAUGUCGGUCAUCCCGUCCAGGCUCCUGUACCUGUGUUUACAUUUGCUGGUCCUCUAUUUUCAACUCCAGGUACGUCCCCCCCCCCACCCCAACACACAGACACACACCUCAUACCUGCC
ensembl:lncRNA